UAACUGAAGAAUUCAAGACACCAUUGACUCCAAUAAAGCUAGAUAUUAAAAAACUUGGUGAUGUCAUUAAAGUAUUAACAUCAGAUCAACACUUGCCCUGUUCUGUAUGGCGUAGACUAGGUCUACAGUUAGGAUUAUAUGAUCCUAGACUAGUAGAUAUAGACACUGACUGUAGAGGAAAGACAGUGGAGUGCUUCCAUGAGUGUAUGUCUACCUGGUUAAGAGGAGAAGAUGGAGUGAGAGAGAAAGGAGGUCCCAGUUGGUCAUCAUUAGCUACAGCACUGGAUACAAUAGACCAAAAAUCUAUUUCUAGUUACAUUAGAGAUAAAUAUUGUUAAUAAUUAGUGGAUUAUAUUGUCUAUAGUAUUUCAUUUUGUUCUGUUUGUUUUUAUUUUUGCUGAUACUUGCUGAUUCAUUUGUUAAUUAGUUGAGUUGUAAAAGCUGAGCUGUCAUCAUGUACUAAUUUCCCUAUCUCUUUAGAAUUAUCACUGAUAGUAUCAAAC